rnacentral:rRNA from 1 species
GUCCUUUUGAAAUUGAUUUAAGGUUUAACCUGCCCACUGAAAUUUUUUGAAGGGCCGCAGUAAUUUGACUGUGCAAAGGUAGCAUAAUCAUUAGUUUUUUAAUUAAAAGCUUGUAUGAAGGGUUGGACGAGAUAAAUUCUGUCUCUAUUUAAUUAAAUUUAGAAUUUAAUUUUUAAGUUAAAAAGCUUAAAUUUUUUUAAAAGACGAGAAGACCCUAUAGAUCUUUAUAUUAGAAAUAUUAAUUUUAAUUAGGAAUAUUUUAUAUUUUAUUAUUAAUAAUAUUUUAUUGGGGUAAUAAAAAGAUUUAAUUAAUUCUUUUUUUAUUUAAACAUUAAUAAAUGAUUAUAUGAUCCAUUUUUAUUGAUUAAAAGAUUAAGUUACCUUAGGGAUAACAGCGUAAUUUUUUUAGAGAGUUCAUAUCGAUAAAAAAGUUUGCGACCUCGAUGUUGGAUUAAAAAUUAUCUUAGG